rnacentral:lncRNA from 1 species
GUGAGUGAGAAAAAAUGGAGUACAACGAAUACGAACCUGAACCUCAAUAUGUAGAAGACGAUGAUGAUGAGGAAAUUACCCAGGAGGACGCGUGGGCUGUUAUAUCUGCUUAUUUCGAAGAGAAAGGUCUCGUUCGUCAGCAGCUCGAUUCGUUUGAUGAGUUUAUUCAGAAUACUAUGCAAGAAAUCGUUGAUGAGUCUGCUGAUAUAGAGAUCCGACCUGAAUCUCAGCACAAUCCUGGCCAUCAGUCCGAUUUUGCGGAGGUUGUUUUUCUAGGGUUUCUAUGGGAAUUCGAAAUUAUGUGCGGGUUUAUCGUGUUUGUGGCGGUUUUUAAGUGUUUCGAUUUGAGCUUCUACCGUUUGGGUGUGCAAUUAGGGUUUGCCUUUCGAGUAGCGAAUCUCAUUGAUGUCCCGAAACUG